AGAUUGAACGCUGGCGGAAUGCCUUACACAUGCAAGUCGAACGGCAGCACGGGAGCAAUCCUGGUGGCGAGUGGCGAACGGGUGAGUAAUACAUCGGAACGUGCCCAAUCGUGGGGGAUAACGUAGCGAAAGCUACGCUAAUACCGCAUACGAUCUACGGAUGAAAGCAGGGGAUCGCAAGACCUUGCGCGAAUGGAGCGGCCGAUGGCAGAUUAGGUAGUUGGUGGGGUAAAGGCGUCACCAAGCCUUCGAUCUGUAGCUGGUCUGAGAGGACGACCAGCCACACUGGGACUGAGACACGGCCCAGACUCCUACGAGAGGCAGCAGUGGGGAAUUUGGACAAUGGGCGACAAGCCUGAUCCAGCCAUUCCCG
rnacentral:rRNA from 1 species